GACGAACGCUGGCGGCGUGCUUAACACAUGCAAGUCGAACGAGGUUACGGAGGAGCUUGCUCCGAAGUAACCGAGUGGCGGACGGGUGAGUAACGCGUGAGGAACCUGUCUCACACAGGGGGAUAACGCACCGAAAGGUGUGCUAAUACCGCAUAAGACCACGGUACCGCAUGGUACAGGGGUCAAAGGAGUAAUCCGGUGUGAGGUGGCCUCGCGUCUGAUUAGGUAGUUGGUGAGGUAACGGCCCACCAAGCCGACGAUCAGUAGCCGACCUGAGAGGGUGAUCGGCCACAUUGGAACUGAGACACGGCCCAGACUCCUACGGGAGGCAGCAGUGGGGAAUAUUGGGCAAUGGGCGCAAGCCUGACCCAGCAACGCCGCGUGAAGGAAGAAGGCUUUCGGGUUGUAAACUUCUUUGUCGAGGAAGAGUAGAAGACUGUACUCGGCGAAUAAGCCACGGCUAACUACGUG
rnacentral:rRNA from 1 species